rnacentral:tRNA from 1 species
AAGGGAGACCUAAUUCAGGUAGGAGGCGAAAAAAAAGUAGUCGCUACCAAGAAUCAAUCCCAAAAGGUCGGAGCGAGGCGAAAUUGGCUUUCAAACUAGGUUCUGGGUUCACACAAGACCUGAAUCAGGAACAAGGGCUAUUAGCUCAGGUGGUUAGAGCGCACCCCUGAUAAGGGUGAGGUCCCUGGUUCGAGUCCAGGAUGGCCCACCUGUACAGGUGGCAAAAAGAAAGAAAAGAAGCGAGGAAUCAGCACCUUAUCUUACUGACAUAGUAAGAGAGAAUGCUGGCUCUGAGUAAAGAGUCCAGAGGAACCUUGAAAACUGCAUAGAGCUAGGUGAAAAAGCCAAAAAAGAAGACCGCAA